GUUUAAUUUACUUUUCAAAGUAAAUAAAUAAUUUUUUUUUUUUGACUGUUUUUGACACAUAGUAUCACAUAGUAUCAGAUAGUGUACAAAAAAAAUUAUAAGUAAAAUACAAGUAGUGUUUCAUGACAGCGAUACUGAUGAAUUUUAGCAAUGAAAUCAUCAAUUGACAUUGACAGUAGCUUGUCAUUAAAAUGUCAGUGUGUCAUGUCAUAUAAAUGACAAGUCAAAACAAGCUGUUGUUAAAAUUGAAUUGAAGUUUUAUAGAAAAAAUAAAUCAUCAUAUUGUCGCUAUAAUCAAAAAAAAAAUAUUCCACGCUGCCAUAGAAUGCUGCCUUAUCAGUGAUAUACGUCAGCAGGGUUGGACAUGUAUAAAACAUAAUGUUUUAAACCAUGUUUAAAACUAUGUUUAAAACAUAGUUUAAAACAUCCUUAGUUUUAUCCAUUUGUAUAAAACAUCGCCAUCUGGCGGCGAAAUUUGGAACUACCACCAAAACAAACAAACCAAAUAAUAAAUAUUUUUUUUUCUCUCUCAAUCUCAACUGUCAGAUUGUCUGAAAUUGUUUUGAUAGUAAAAUGUUGAUUGUUGCUGGUAAACAUAGUUGAGUUGGAAAAAGUUUUUUAUAAAUAAUACAUACAAUGAAACCUGGUGGAAGACCUCUUCAUGAAAUUUGGACCCAAGGCUUCAAAAGAACCUCCAAAUGUGAUGGGAAAUUCACAGCAACUUGUCAAUAUUGCUUUAAAGAGUUCUCAAAUACUUCAAGUGAAAGAUUAAUAAACCACAGAGCAAACUGUCAAGCAAUUGAUACACUGGCAUCAUCAUCAAGUGACAAUAAUAACAAAAUCACAUCAACAAAUCCAAAUUCUACAAUAAUUACUGAAGAUUCAGUGUCAAUUUUAAGUUAUGAUUCAGAUGCAUCCGGUGCUAGUUCACCAUCCAUCUCUUCUAGACCAUCUAAAAAAAGAAAACUAUCCAACUUAAGAUCUUUAAAUCAAUACUUUUUGUCUUUGACAGACAGUGACAAAAAAAAGAUUGAUAGAGCUGUCUUGAACUUCUUUGUCAG